rnacentral:rRNA from 1 species
CAGUCGAGCGAGCUUGCCUAGAUGAAUUUGGUGCUUGCACCAAAUGAAACUAGAUACAAGCGAGCGGCGGACGGGUGAGUAACACGUGGGUAACCUGCCCAAGAGACUGGGAUAACACCUGGAAACAGAUGCUAAUACCGGAUAACAACACUAGACGCAUGUCUAGAGUUUAAAAGAUGGUUCUGCUAUCACUCUUGGAUGGACCUGCGGUGCAUUAGCUAGUUGGUAAGGUAACGGCUUACCAAGGCAAUGAUGCAUAGCCGAGUUGAGAGACUGAUCGGCCACAUUGGGACUGAGACACGGCCCAAACUCCUACGGGAGGCAGCAGUAGGGAAUCUUCCACAAUGGACGCAAGUCUGAUGGAGCAACGCCGCGUGAGUGAAGAAGGGUUUCGGCUCGUAAAGCUCUGUUGGUAGUGAAGAAAGAUAGAGGUAGUAACUGGCCUUUAUUUGACGGUAAUUACUUAGAAAGUCACGGCUAACUACGUGCCAGCAGCCGCGGUAAUACGUAGGUGGCAAGCGUUGUCCGGAUUUAUUGGGCGUAAAGCGAGUGCAGGCGGUUCAAUAAGUCUGAUGUGAAAGCCUUCGGCUCAACCGGAGAAUUGCAUCAGAAACUGUUGAACUUGAGUGCAGAAGAGGAGAGUGGAACUCCAUGUGUAGCGGUGGAAUGCGUAGAUAUAUGGAAGAACACCAGUGGCGAAGGCGGCUCUCUGGUCUGCAAACUGACGCUGAGGCUCGAAAGCAUGGGUAGCGAA